AUACAACCUUUGGGGUGAUGGGUGGGGCAAUGGGAUCAGGUGCCUCAAAGGGCAUCCCACCUGAUCCCACAGCCCCACCUGUCACCCCAAAAGCCUGCUGCUCCUGCCCU
rnacentral:pre_miRNA from 1 species